GCCUGGAUGGCUCAGUGGUUGAGCAUCUGACUUCAGCUCAGGAUGUGAUCCCUGGACUGGGGAUUGAGUCCCAUAUCGGGCU
rnacentral:tRNA from 1 species